GUGCCAAACCACACAGCCCACUUUAAGAACAAAAAUGCUGCAUGUAUGCAUGCUGUAAACAUUGGUCAAUGCAGGAAGAGCUGUUAAAACACCAAGAACGAAGGAUGAAAAGAAGAAAUCAAAGCCAAGAGGUGAACAACAUCAAAGGUAAUUUGGUAGAUGAUCAAGUAAUGGUAUAAUUUGAUUUCUUCAUGAAUGGAUAGAUUCAACAUCCGUGCUAGCGUUACUGAUUAGCCUUGUACAUUCCAAAAGAAGAAAAGAGUCACUCUAACAGCAGGGCAAGAAAUCUUUUGAGGUUUUAUUUAUGGGAUCACAUGAUCCUGCACCAUUGUCUAUUUAAUCUUAAGAAGACGAGCAAGCUCAAUAAGGUUGAAGAAGGCUUCGGCCUUUUCCUAUGCGAUCCAUUCAUCUAUGAAUUUGUUAGGGAGGAAUGAUUCCAACCACCAUUCACGUACUAUUCCUCAUCAGUCGUCAUGAGGAAGAGCAAUUGAGAAUUCUCAUUCCAGAAAUACACUGACAAGAACUUAGAGUUUGUUUCUUCAAAAUGCAGAUUUCAGCUUCCCUUGUAUCAAUGAGUUUCAGUUUUAACUUUGUUAUCUAGGUGUGUUUGGUAUGAUGGAAAAAUGUACCUGUUUAGUUGGAGAGAGAACUUUUAACCAUUUACUAAGGAUUUUAAAUAAUAUUAGCAACUGGAUUCAUAAAAACAACAUAGCAAACCAAAU